UCGAACCUGUUAAUCUUUUAUCUUCCCGACGAAUGGAGUUCACUUCCGGCCUUCAUGCCGCCGUCGCCGGUUCAGACUACCACCACCGGAAUUACUUCCGACGAAAUCGAAACGACGUCGGAGAAGAAUAUUAUUAUUCAUACCACCGAGUGAGACGAACGUGUAAUACCCGUAAUUACAGUUUUCAUCACCAGCAGCGGUGCAUACCGUCCAAGUAUGGAUGGAAACCCGAAAUCUUGAAGAAAGGUGUAAUGGAAGAGGGUCCCACUAUAGUCUGCAGGCCCAUCAUCUCUCAUAUCCCCUGCAUCAACACAAGAGACUACUACUGAGAUUAAUACAAAGCUAAAUAGCAGAGUACAACAAAACAACCAACAUUCAAUGAAGCAGCUAAACUUAUUUUCUACAAACGAACCCGCAAAUUGUACUCCAAUACUUCCAAGCCAACUUACAAAAUGUGGUUGAAACUGUGAAAAGGUAAGAGUUAGUUCAUAUUAUGCCAUUUUUCUAAGUGUAUAGUGCAUGAUUUGUUGUUAUGGUUUUGUCAAAGCUAGCGAUUUUAUUCUCAUUUUAAAACUUACAGGAAU